rnacentral:rRNA from 1 species
CUUUCAGCAACGGAUCUCUUGGCUCUCGCAUCGAUGAAGAACGCAGCA